ACAAUUCAAUUUCAAGUCCUCUCUUGCCUGUAGGUUUCCCUGCCUGGAGAAAAAUGACUACGCAGAGGCAGAUAUUCUGUAUUUCGAUCACUGCACAGUCUUGUAAUGCGCUCGCCAGGAAAUACAAGCAGUCUUUUAGAAUGAUAGAAGAGAAUUUCUGGGUCACUAAAAUUAUUCUUAAAGCCAGUUUUAUGACUUCUCAAUGAGAUUUCCCUGUUGUUCAGACGUUUUUAUGUCCUUUAUUCUCAUUAGAGUGGCUGAGCUGGAGGAGCGCAUCGGGGCGACUCUGCACGUGAAGUUCUGCAAAACACAUGAGCUAGCUGCUCACUUCUCAGCUGCGCACACUGCAACAAGACAGAGUUCCUUCAUCUUUUAUUCUGAUUGAUCUGAAUCACGUUACUCAGUAACACUAAAGCGAUCUGGGAAGGAAACCAAAGCGGUGUUGCAGUGCAAGCUCUGGCUCCAAGCUGGUGCCCAGCAGAGGCAUUUUCCAGUAGCCUGCACUUAAGGGAAAAAAAAACACGGGCAUAUCUCUGUCCAUCCCUACCUGUUCCUGAGUUCCUGGCGAGCAACUUGAGUGAGCUGCUUCCUCCCUGCUGGCUGCUGUGCCACCCAGGUGUCUGCUUUCCAG
rnacentral:lncRNA from 1 species